UACCGAAAAGGAGCAUGUGAAAAUUGUGGGGCCAUGACACACAAAAAGAAAGACUGCUUUGAGAGACCUAGGCGAGUUGGAGCCAAAUUUACAGGUACUAAUAUAGCUCCAGAUGAACAUGUCCAGCCUCAACUGAUGUUUGACUAUGAUGGAAAAAGAGAUCGGUGGAAUGGCUAUAAUCCAGAAGAACACAUGAAAAUUGUGGAAGAAUAUGCCAAAGUUGAUCUGGUGAGCAACAUUCCCUGCUUGUCUACUGUCCUUAAAUAAUGUACAUUUUGUCAUGUCUCUGACUUAAAAACUCUAUUUUUCAAAUCUUAAAGCGCUAUAAAAAAUGGUGCCUUAUUGAAUAGUGAAAAUAAAUGAAUGGUAGCUGUA